GCUAACUACGUGCCAGCAGCCGCGGUAAUACGUAGGGUGCGAGCGUUGUCCGGAAUUAUUGGGCGUAAAGAGCUUGUAGGCGGCUUGUCGCGUCUGCUGUGAAAGCCCGGGGCUUAACCCCGGGUCUGCAGUGGGUACGGGCAGGCUAGAGUGUGGUAGGGGAGACUGGAAUUCCUGGUGUAGCGGUGGAAUGCGCAGAUAUCAGGAGGAACACCGAUGGCGAAGGCAGGUCUCUGGGCCACUACUGACGCUGAGAAGCGAAAGCGUGGGGAGCGAACAGGAUUAGAUACCCUUGUAGUC
rnacentral:rRNA from 1 species